UCAAGGCCAAACUUUCCUUCACAAACGAAAAGACAAAAGUGGCCCCUUUCAAAAGUGGCGAUGGAAAAAUAUGCAGGGUAAUUUUAGAGGAUGAAACUUCCAAAAUUGUAGGCAUUUCCUUUGGAAGUCUGGCAGAAUGUGUUGCAUCAAAAGUGACACAUAAUAGGGAAUAUUAUAUUAAAGGAGCCAAAAUUAAGAAUGUCUACAAAACAAAUAAUGUGGGCCAUGGAUAUGAGCUUCACUUUGCAGAAGGCACAGAAUUUCAAGAUGCAUCUAAUGGAAAAAUCAUUUGUCUUGAUAAAAAAACUGUCCAAAGUUGUGAAAAGAAAGUCAGUAAAGCAGGGAAUAGCAGUGGUACAAGCAGAAAUGGAGGUUUGAAUCUGAAACCCACAUGUCUGAGGGAGGUUCGGCAGGCCUCUCAGAAUUUAUUGGAUGCCCAGAAAUUUGAUAUAUUGGCAAUCUUGAAAAAGACUAAAAAACCAGAGCCAAAGCAAAAUGGGAUGAUGAAGAG